rnacentral:rRNA from 1 species
GAUGAACGCUGGCGGCGUGCCUAAUACAUGCAAGUCGAGCGAACAGACGAGGAGCUUGCUCCUCUGACGUUAGCGGCGGACGGGUGAGUAACACGUGGAUAACCUACCUAUAAGACUGGGAUAACUUCGGGAAACCGGAGCUAAUACCGGAUAAUAUAUUGAACCGCAUGGUUCAAUAGUGAAAGACGGUUUUGCUGUCACUUAUAGAUGGAUCCGCGCCGCAUUAGCUAGUUGGUAAGGUAACGGCUUACCAAGGCGACGAUGCGUAGCCGACCUGAGAGGGUGAUCGGCCACACUGGAACUGAGACACGGUCCAGACUCCUACGGGAGGCAGCAGUAGGGAAUCUUCCGCAAUGGGCAAAAGCCUUACGGAGCAACGCCGCGUGAGUGAUGAAGGUCUUCGGAUCGUAAAACUCUGUUAUUAGGGAAGAACAAAUGUGUAAGUAACUAUGCACGUCUUGACGGUACCUAAUCAGAAAGCCACGGCUAACUACGUG